GCGCUGGUAGUAUAGUGGUUAGUAUAACUGGCUUCCAACCAGUUGACCCGGGUUCGACCCCCGGCCGGCGCA
rnacentral:tRNA from 7 species